UUGUAGCCCAGAUGGAAACGGCAUCCUUUUUAUGAUUGCUGCGAGGAACAAGCAGGAAUUAUAAAAAGAUAUAGUGUACAGCUGGAAAUAGC
rnacentral:sRNA from 1 species